GGCUGCAACUCGCCUACACGAAGUCGGAAUCGCUAGUAAUCGCGGAUCAGCAUGCCGCGGUGAAUACGUUCCCGGGCCUUGCACACACCGCCCGUCACACCAUGGGAGUUUGUAACGCCCAAAGUCGGUGGCCUAACCUUUAUGGAGGGAGCCGCCUAAGGCGGGACAGAUGACUGGGGUGAAGUCGUAACAAGGUAUC
rnacentral:rRNA from 1 species